UACGGGGGGGGCAAGCGUUGUUCGGAAUUACUGGGCGUAAAGGGCUCGUAGGCGGCAAACUAAGUCGGAUGUGAAAUCCCCAGGCUUAACCUGGGAACUGCAUCCGAUACUGGAUGGCUUGAAUCCGGGAGAGGGAUGCAGAAUUCCAGGUGUAGCGGUGAAAUGCGUAGAUAUCUGGAGGAAUACCGGUGGCGAAGGCGGCAUCCUGGACCGGCAUUGACGCUGAGGAGCGAAAGCUAGGGGAGCAAACGGG
rnacentral:rRNA from 1 species